rnacentral:lncRNA from 1 species
UUUUUAGGAUGAUAAGGCUUCCGUCCCCCCAGGAAGGGCCAAGUCAGCAACCAAGAGCGAGCCUUGCGGUGGCCGUUUCAGGGGCAUCGGGGGCAUGCCCUCCCCGCCACCGAUCGCUGAGGACGCCCCUCCGCUGCUUCGCUCUGUGUCCUUAAAACGUCGGCUACUGGAUUGAAAUGUAUUUUGUUGGCUUUACCGCUCGUAGCCAUCUUGAGACCAUGAAGCAAGGACUAAGAGAGUCACAGAACUCUCAGCCCUGAUGUAUUUGAGCUGCUGCACUAAUGCCAGUUGACCUACUCCUGGAUCCCACGUGACACGAGAAGAA